rnacentral:lncRNA from 1 species
GACGUGGUGACCAACGUGUUUGACAAGUAACCUAAUCUGCCGAGCAACCCAAGGUAACCAGUGACUCAGGAGCUGCUGCUUGGGGAUGUGUAGUUGUUCGUCAAACCCGUGUGUUGGGUUUAACUAUCUUGAACUAAGGACUAUCUUUAAAACUAUUUGGUUUAUGCUUCCGCUGUUUUGUUAAACUAAUCAUCGAAAUUAAACUGCAAUGUUGCUAACUACUUUGGAUAGUAAAUAUCUCUAAUAUUAAAUCAAUGCUCAGUAUGAUUAGUGGCUGGAUCCUGGUCAGUCACGCCUCCAAGCGGUGGUGUUCCGCGUGUGGAUUUUGGGGGUGUGACACCGACCAAGCGGUAUUUUAUAUACCGUACCCCAAGCCCGUAUAAGGGAAAAUAAGUUAAACGUAUUUACCUGAGCAAAGUAUAAAUCAAAUAAAGCAACUACAUCUCACAAUACAUAAUCCGUGAUCGUAUACUUGUUUUAAUCCCUGAACAUAAUUCUUGAUUGAAUCAUCUAAACAUACUUGCAAUCUUAUUUAUGUAUCACAUGUUUGGUGCUUUAGAACAUGUUUAAUUACAUUUUUUUUACCUUGUUACAUGAAAAUAUACAUGCUAAACCUUAUGUAACAUAUUAUUUAUAUAGAUUGCACCUCAAAUGAACCUUUAUUAUGAUUAAU